CGCUCGCCAUGAAGAAGUUCUCUCGCAUGCCCAAGGCCGAGGGGAGCGGCGGCGGCGGGACGACGUGCGCUGGCUCCGGCGGCGCGGGCGGAGCGGCAGCCGCGGGCCGGGUGUUCGUGGUGGGACGGUACCAGGUCACCCUGGAGGAUCUGCUGGCGGAAGGUGGCUUUUCCACUGUGUUCCUGGUGCGUACCCAUGGUGGAGUACGCUGCGCACUGAAACGAAUGUAUGUUAAUAAUGUGCCUGACCUCAACAUUUGCAAAAGAGAAAUAACAAUUAUGAAAGAACUCUCUGGGCACAAGAAUAUUGUAGGCUAUUUGGAUUGUGCUGUUAAUUCUGUUAGUGACAAUGUGUGGGAGGUGCUCAUCUUAAUGGAAUUUUGUCGAGCGGGGCAAGUCGUGAAUCAGAUGAAUCAGAGACUUCAGACAGGCUUUACUGAGCCAGAAGUACUGAGGAUAUUUUGUGACACCUGUGAAGCUGUUGCCAGGUUGCAUCACUGCAAAACGCCAAUAGUUCACCGGGACCUGAAGGUAGAGAAUAUUUUGUUGAAUGACAAUGGAAACUAUGUCCUUUGUGACUUUGGCAGUGCCACUAACAAAUUCCUUAAUCCUCAGAAAGAUGGUGUUAAUGUAGUUGAAGAAGAAAUUAAAAAGUAUACAACACUGUCAUACAGAGCUCCUGAAAUGAUCAAUCUUUAUGGCGGAAAGCCAGUUACUACCAAGGCAGAUAUCUGGGCACUUGGCUGCUUGCUGUAUAAACUUUGUUUCUUCACACUUCCCUUUGGGGAGAGUCAGGUUGCUAUUUGUGACGGAAAUUUUACCAUUCCAGACAAUUCCCGAUAUACCCAUAAUGUACAUUGUUUGAUAAGGUACAUGCUUGAACCAGAUCAAGAACGGAGACCCGAUAUCUUUCAAGUAUCUUAUUUUGCCUUUAAACUUGCCAAAAAGGAAUGUCCAUUGUCCAAUAUUAAUAAUUCUCCUGUCCCUUCAACUCUUCCUGAACCCAUGACAGCUAGUGAGGCGGCUGCUAGAAAAAGCCAAAUAAAAGCCAGAAUAACGGAUGCUGUUGGACCAACAGAAACCUCAAUUGCACCACGACAAAGACCAAAGGCCAAUUCAAGCACUGCCACUUCUAAUGUGCUAACUAUCCAGAGUUCAGCAACACCAGUAAAAGUAUCGGUUCCUGGUGAAUUCGGUAACUGUGUGCAAAAAGGAACCAUCAGACCAGGAAAUGGACAAGAGAUCUUGUCUCAAGGGACCAAUCAGCACCCUCCACAACAAAAUAGAGUACUGCAGCAACUGCAGCAGGGGGACUGGAGAUUGCAGCAACUGCACCACUUACAUCAGCAGCACCAGCAACAAUUACUUCAGGAUGCUUACAUGCAACAGUAUCAACAAGCAAUGCACCAGCAAAUGGUCCAACAACAACUUAUGAUGCAAUCUAUGUACCAACAGCAACCGUCCCCAUCCCAGUAUCCUGCCAUGGUGCAACAAUACCAGCAAGCUCUCUUACAUCAGCGGAUCCUUGCACAGCAACAUCAACAGCAACCUCAACAUCCACAGUCUCCUGAGUAUCUUACCUCUCCUCAAGAGUUCUCACCAGCCUUAAUUUCCUACUCUGCAUCACUUCCUGCUCAUGUUGGAGCAGUGAUGGAUUCUCCUUAUACGGCCAAUAGCUCAGUCGUUCCUGAUGCAGAGGCCGUUUCCAGUUACCCAAAGCAGAACAUCAGUAACCCACCUGAUAUGUCAGGCUGGAACCCAUUUGGAGAGGACAAUUUCUCCAAGCUAACAGAGGAGGAGCUACUGGACAGAGAAUUUGACCUUCUGAGAUCAAACAGGCUCGUGGAGAGGAGAGCAUCCUCAGAUAAGAAUGUGGAGCCACAUUCUGCUCCACAGAACCAUCCUUCUGAAGAUCCCUUUGGUUCUGUACCUUUCAUUUCUCACCCAGGUUCUCCAGGAAAGGCACUUGACAACUCAGCCAGCAACCAAGAAAAUAAUUUAGGGAGCCCAAACAAGGCUGAAAAAUCAAGUCAAGCCUCUCGAGAGCACCAUCAAGGAAGAAAAACUUCAGGGGGACAAGUGCAGAAAGGAAGUGAUGAGUCAGAGAGUGACUUUGAAUCUGAUCCUCCUUCUCCCAAGAGCAGUGAGGAAGAUGAAGAGCAGGAGGAUGAAGAUGUCUUACAGGGGGAGCAUGGAGACUUUAAUGAUGACGAUACAGAACCUGAGAACUUUGGCCAUCGGCCUCUCCUUAUGGACUCUGAAGAUGAGGCGGAGGAAGAGGAGGAAGAAAAGCAGAGUUCUGAUUCCGAUUCCGAUCGCACCAAGGGAAAGCCCAUGGAAGGGAUCCCUUGUGGUAGAUACAGAGAGGUGGGUGGCAGUCGUGAAGACAGAGAACCCAAUGUAGCACUCUCUUCCUUGUCUGAGUUACCCAGUACUGUGGCCAAGGUGAGCCCUGGCCAAGAAUUUGAUGUGUUUGGAGCUGUCCCCUUCUUCGCUUUUCAGACUCAGCAACCUCAGCCAAGAGAAAAGAGUGACACGGAUUUCUCUCCUCAGCCUGCUUUUCUUGGCCUGAGGCAAGAGCAGGAUGACUUUGAUGUCUUCACCAAAGCCCCAUUCAACAAGAAGGUGGCCCAGCCAGAUGGCCCGGAUGUAGGAGCUGAGACCCAAACCUCCCCUACUUCUCCCCGAAGUGUGGAUAUUUUUGGCUGCACCCCUUUCCAGCCUCUUCCCACCCCAAAGAGCAGUGAAAGCAGAGAGGACCUCUUUGGGCUUGUCCCCUUUGAGGAGAUUACAGGGAGCCAGCAGCAACAGAAGGUGAAGCAGCAGCGGAAUCUGCAGAAACUCUCCUCCCGGCAAAGACGCAUGAAACAGGAGGUGCCCAAAAGCAAUGGGAAGCGCCACCAUGGCACCCCGACCAGCACCAAGAAGGCUUUGAAACCCAGCUACCGCACCCCAGAGAGAGCCCGCAGGCACAAAAAAACGGGCCGCAGGGACUCCCAAAGCAGCAACGAAUUCCUAACUAUCUCAGACUCCAAGGAAAACAUAAGCGUUGCAUUGACUGACAGCAAAGAUCGAGGCAACCCUUUGCAAGCGGAUGAGAAUCUGCUGGACCCUUUUGGAGCCAAACCUUUCCACCCACCAGACUUGAUGCGGAACCCACAGCAUCAAGGACUGGGUGACAACCGGGGGGACCAUAAUAUAGUAGUGCCUGGUAGACCUAGACAGAGCUCCCUGCAUGGGGCUGUUCACAGUGGUGAUGGGCUAAAAACAGAUGACUUUGGUGCGGUGCCCUUCACAGAACUGGUUGUGCAGAGUGUAACACCACAGCAAGCCCCACAGCAACAGGCAUUAGAGUUAGAUCCAUUUGGGGCAGCUCCAUUUCCUUCCAAACAGUAAAUGCUUCCACCAGACUAUUUCUCGUUCUCUGCACUAUUUAACUUUGCUUUUAAAUAGUGGAAUAAUCCAUCUGGCUGAAUUGACAGGAAACUGAUUUUUCGUACAGUUUAUUCAGCCUCGGUACUGCAUGCCCAGCGCGCCUCAAAAUUUUUAAAUCAUGUGUUUUUGUAUUGUACAAAACACCGAGAAAAAGUUGGACAGCACGUUUCCAGAGCAGAAGAGGAAUCAGAUGUGAGCUAUUUUAGCCACUGACUUUGGAGCCAUGAAAUAUACUGUUCUGCACUUUUGCAUGGCCUUUCCGCUCAUAGGCAAGGGGGAAAACCAUGGAAGAAGGUCUGCCGUGAUGCAUCCAGUUAGUCUGAUGGAAUGGAAUCCUUCUAUGAUACAAACCUUUGACUCUCUCGGAGACCUGAGAUAAUAUGUAUGUGCUGGUAUCCAUCAUCUGCUGGAAAUUCUUCAGUCUCCACCGUCUAAAUGAAAGCUCUUUUCUAAUCCUAACAAAGAAACCUACUCAAAGGAUUGUGUGUGUCAAGAUUUCAGAGCAUGGUGGUGGCUUGAGAACUGAUGCACAAGUAGAGGUGGAAGGCAAUUUUUGUGUGCCUAAACAUUAAUUUUUUUACACCACAAUCAUUUUCAUGUGACUGGAAAAGAGAAUAUGAACAAAAGCCACUAAAAAUGCCAGGGAGACAUGAGAAAAAUGCCAGGGGGCUGAUACCAGGUUAUUUUUCUACAGUACUUCUUUCACAAGGAAAAUCAAAUAAUUGUGUGUAUACUAAGUUUGUUUGUGUGACUAGGGCAUCCUCUAAUAGUAAACAGCCUACAAGCUAUUUUUAAAUUGCUGGCCUACAGCUUUAAGUGCACUUUUCUGAAUUACACUUCCAUUUCUUGUUAGACUUGAAGUUUCUAAAGCUUUUUUGUGUACCACUAAACAGAGAACUUUAAUUUUUCUGUGAACUUGAUGUACAUCAUAAAAUACUUGCGAUUGUUAUUAAAAAAAAUAAUCAAAUGUGAUAGUGAUUUUGCAGACCUUCUUAAACAACUAAUUGUGCAGUAUCAUAUUCCUGAUGAGCUGCAGUUAACGCUCAUCACUAAUUGAGUUUUAUAGCAUUUGACCUUUUCACUGUUACAGACUUGAUUUUGGUCCCUAGUUCGUUCUGUUUGAAAUAUUAUUUUUUUCUAUUGUUUAUCAUAUCAGCUGCCUAAUAAUCUGCUUUCUCUUAAAGCAAUAAAUCCCAGUGGAUUAAACAUUCUUUUAU